AAGGUAGAGGUGCAGCUGCGAUAAGUAAUCGCGCGGAGGACGACCAGUCCGGUGAACCGCGGUGAAAGGCAAGGCUGCCGAAGGACGGCGUCCGGUAAACGGCGUUCUGGCUGCAGGUCUAACAGGUUUGUGGCUGUCAUCAGGAGUUUGAUGGAGUGCUAUCGG
rnacentral:ncRNA from 1 species